rnacentral:rRNA from 1 species
UGGGGAAUCUUCCGCAAUGGACGAAAGUCUGACGGAGCAACGCCGCGUGAGUGAAGAAGGCCUUCGGGUCGUAAAGCUCUGUUAUUAGGGACGAACGUAUUUAGUGUGAAUAAUGCUAGAUAGUGACGGUACCUAAGGAGGAAGCCACGGCUAACUACGUGCCAGCAGCCGCGGUAAUACGUAGGUGGCAAGCGUUGUCCGGAAUUAUUGGGCGUAAAGCGCGCGCAGGUGGGAUGUUAAGUCUUUUGUAAAAGUGCGGGGCUCAACCCCGUAAAGCGAUGGAUACUGGCAUUCUUGAGUGCAGGAGAGGAAAGCGGAAUUCCCAGUGUAGCGGUGAAAUGCGUAGAUAUUGGGAGGAACACCAGUGGCGAAGGCGGCUUUCUGGACUGUGUCUGACACUGAGGCGCGAAAGCCAGGGGAGCGAACG